AUAGUGGGGUAACAGAUGUGGCAUCAGCAGCCUUGGGUUUUGUAAACAGUCAAAACUCUGACUCUGAUCAGCCUGGGAGAAAUGAGAAAGGCCAGUCUUCCUGGGAUGUGAACCCUGAGGGGCAAGGCUAAUUACCGUGGUGCCCCACUGAGCUGUUCAUCCAUCGGGGCGUCUACAUUGCUAACGAUGUUAAACCGGGAAGCCUGUGAGAUCUUGUGUUGCAGUGUGGUUUGGCCCUAGCGUUCUUGCAUGCUCGCUCAGGGUAGAAGAUUAGCCUGUUUGCAUGCAGCCUGCAGGCGGACGCUGCCUUGACGUGAAGCAUGUUCUGGGAGCUUGACACACCCCUUGGCUGAACUCCUCCCCAGAGCUGUCGGGCCUCAUUCACCGGGAUACUAGGUUGAAAAAGCUUGUCGACGAACGGGAAUGCUUAUUGGAACAGGACCACCAGAUGGCAUAGCAGUUAAGUCGUUGGACUUCCGCAUGGCUGGCC